ensembl:lncRNA
CAGUAAUCUCUGCAGUACUUUGCCCAGAAGGUCACCAGUUUGACAUGCUAAAGUAUUUGCUUGUUGUCCGCCACUGCACACUCAAGAGGUUCCAGUCGACAUGUCUGUUACAGUGGAUGUGGAAGAACUUGACCUGCCUGCACAGAGUCCUGACCUCAACCCGAUACAACACCUUUGGGAUGAAUUAGAGCAGAGACUGUGGCCUUCUCGUCCAACAUCAGUGUCUGACCUCACAAAUGCACUUCAGGAAGAGCGGUCAGAAAUUCCCAUAAACACACUCCUAACCCUUGUGGAAAGCCUUCCCAGAAGAGCUGAAGCUGUUAUAGGUGCAAAGGGUGGUCCGACAUCAUAUUAAACCCUAUGGAUUAAGAAUGUCUCUCAAGUUUAUAUGUGUGUGAAGGUAGACGAGCAAAUACUUUUGGAAAUAUAGUGUAUGUGGAUUCAUUUUAAUUUUUUAUAUAAUUUGAACACAGCAGCUGCCCAUUAGAUUGUGUGACUAUUUCAUGAUGAGUGGACCAAUGGAAAUACAUUACAUACUUUAACUUACAUUUAAAGUAACGUUUUAGCCCCCUCCUGUGAAGUUAUCACUUUUGGACAGUGAUGAUAGUGUCCAUUAGGGCAGUAAUUAAAUGUUAAAUACCAUAAUGCUGCCAAGUAAUCAUUGCUGAAUCAUCAAGUAAACUUGUUUAUCUUUUUGCAUAGUAGUAUCAUGGUCUGGUGCAGCUUUGCUGUGUGGCAUCUUUGGAAAGAAAUUACUCAGUUGUCCAAACAUAAUGUCAUGGACACCUCUCGGCUGGAAUAGUCUGGCUUGGAAUUGCGGUGUCUUUCGGACUGGUGCACAUCCAGGAGUCUGAAGUGGCAUCACCUGCCUUGAAAUACACCACUAGAUCCAGCAAGACAGUCACCCACCUUUUUAUAAUGACCGUACUGAUGAGCUGUGAGCAAAAACAGACAUUUGUUAACUUAUUUUUAAUUCACCAAGUAAUGCUAACAGUGAUAAAUGAAUGAAUAAUGAAUGAUGUCAACUGCAAAUAUUGUAACAAGCAGCUUCUGCAGGUCUGUGCCAGACAUAGUUGUACUCUGGGGUGGAGAAAGUGUAAACACUGCACCCCCUGCUGACCACAACUGUAAUUGCUUUGGCAGGUCAAAAUGUCACAAUUGCAAAGAAUAAAAUAAAUUGAGGGCCUUCUUUUUUAUGAAGCUAGUAAAAUCGUAGAAUUAUGUGUGAAAAACUAUUUUGAUGCCAUGUCCAAGUUAUUUUCAGUUGCUGCAAUUUUUUUCCUCCCAACAGUUGUUCACAUAAUCAAAUACUGAAAAGUUACACACUGAAAUGAUUCUUUAAUGAGUCUUUAUGUUCAUGUACCAAAACACUUGACCUGGUUCUUCUGUAAAUGUGAUGUUUUUCAUAAAUUUCUAGUCAGUAAGAAGUGAACAAUGAUUUGGGGGUCAUACAAACAGAAAUACAAAUAUGCAUAAACACAUGUUGAGAUGUUUAGGUAGUUCAGUUUGGAGUUGCUCGUUCUUGUGAGAUUAGAUGGUGUUGGGAGAAAUUCAGCUCUUCUAGACUACAGUAAAAACUGAUUUUACCAAACAAGCCAGUCAAAAAACGGAGCCAAACUGUCUUGUGCAUGGGUCUGGGUUUGCUUAGCCUACUCAUAGCGCAUAAUAUGACUAUUUGAAUUAAAUCUGUUGCGUACAGUCAGGAGAUCAAGUCUGGUGGAAAUAAAGGCUAUCGGUCCUGAGGAAGCCCAUGAAAGCCCCGCAUCUGUGCAGCAGAAGAGUCUGAUUUGCAGUUAUGUACACUAGGUUAACACCACGCUGAGAGUGUUUAUAGUGGUAUAUCACACUUUCUUUAAAUGUCAGCAACUCCUUUACUUUCACUUUUAACACCACUGGCUUAAACCUGAAGGGUGUGUGACACUUGAACUGUAACCGUACCGUAUAUAAAAAAAAAACUUGUCAUUUUUAAAAAGCAGUAUUGUUCACAUACGAGUUUGAGUUGAACCUGCCUGCCUACAAAUAUUGAGUUCAGUUCACUUUUGAUACUAAGUUAAUAGAAAUGUUAUAAACAUGUUGUGUUCCGUUUUUAUCUAGAGCUGAAAACAGUAAAACAACUGUCUGUCUGU